UGGGGAAUUUUGGACAAUGGGCGAAAGCCUGAUCCAGCAAUGCCGCGUGUGUGAAGAAGGCCUUCGGGUUGUAAAGCACUUUUGUCCGGAAAGAAAUCCUUGGCUCUAAUACAGUCGGGGGAUGACGGUACCGGAAGAAUAAGCACCGGCUAACUACGUGCCAGCAGCCGCGGUAAUACGUAGGGUGCAAGCGUUAAUCGGAAUUACUGGGCGUAAAGCGUGCGCAGGCGGUUUUGCUAAGACCGAUGUGAAAUCCCCGGGCUCAACCUGGGAACUGCAUUGGGUGACUGGCAGGGCUAGAGUAUGGCAGAGGGGGGUAGAAUUCCACGUGUAGCAGUGAAAUGCGUAGAGAUGUGGAGGAAUACCGAUGGCGAAGGCAGCCCCCUGGGCCAAUACUGACGCUCAUGCACGAAAGCGUGGGGGAGCAAACAGGAUUAGAUACCCCUGGUAGUCCACGCCAUAAACGAUGUCAACUGUUGUUGGGGGAUUCAUUUCCUUAGUAACGUACUAACGCGUGAAGUUGACCGCCUGGGGAGUACGGUCG
rnacentral:rRNA from 1 species